rnacentral:tRNA from 1 species
GCGCAAGUCAGUUCGGGCUAUUUCUUCUGACUACGGAUCAGAAGGUUGGGGGUUCGAGUCCCUUCGAGCGCACCG